rnacentral:rRNA from 1 species
GACGAACGCUGGCGGCGUGCUUAACACAUGCAAGUCGAGCGGAAAGGCCACUUCGGUGGUACUCGAGCGGCGAACGGGUGAGUAACACGUGAGUAAUCUGACCCUGGCUUUGGGAUAGCCACCGGAAACGGUGAUUAAUACCGGAUACGACCACUUCUCGCAUGGGAUGGUGGUGGGAAGUUUUUUCGGCCAGGGAUGUGCUCGCGGCCUAUCAGCUUGAUGGUGGGGUAAUGGCUCACCAUGGCUUCGACGGGUAGCCGGCCUGAGAGGGUGACCGGUCACACUGGGACUGAGACACGGCCCAGACUCCUACGGGAGGCAGCAGUGGGGAAUAUUGGACAAUGGGCGGAAGCCUGAUCCAGCAACGCCGCGUGAGGGAUGACGGCCUUCGGGUUGUAAACCUCUUUCAGCAGGGACGAAGCGCAAGUGACGGUACCUGCAGAAGAAGCACCGGCCAACUACGUGCCAGCCGCCGCAGUAA